CCUACGGGAGGCAGCAGUGGGGAAUAUUGCGCAAUGGGCGAAAGCCUGACGCAGCGACGCCGCGUGAGGGAUGAAGGUCUUCGGAUCGUAAACCUCUGUCAGCAGGGAAGAACGGUCACUGUGCUAAUCAGCAGUGAAUUGACGGUACCUGCAAAGGAAGCACCGGCUAACUCCGUGCCAGCAGCCGCGGUAAUACGGAGGGUGCGAGCGUUAAUCGGAAUUACUGGGCGUAAAGCGCUCGUAGGCGGUAUGUCAAGUCAAGGGUGAAAUCCCCGCGCUCAACGUGGGAACUGCCUUUGAAACGGGCAAACUGGAGUGUGUGAGAGGAUAGGGGAAUUCCAGGUGUAGGAGUGGAAUCCGUAGAUAUCUGGAGGAACAUUAGUGGCGAAGGCGACUAUCUGGCACAUAACUGACGCUGAGGAGCGAAAGCGUGGGUAGCAAACAGGAUUAGAUACCCCAGUAGUC
rnacentral:rRNA from 1 species